rnacentral:rRNA from 1 species
GAUGAACGCUGGCGGCGUGCCUAACACAUGCAAGUCGAACGGAGAUUACGGACGGAAGUUUUCGGAUGGAAGCCUGUAAUUCUUAGUGGCGGACGGGUGAGUAACGCGUGGGCAACCUGCACUAUACAGGGGGAUAGCAGCUGGAAACGGCUGGUAAGACCGCAUAAGUCGGUUAAAUCGCAUGAUUUGAUCGGGAAAUGAGCAAUCAGGUAUAGGAUGGGCCCGCGUCCGAUUAGCCAGUUGGCAGGGUAAAAGCCUACCAAAGCGACGAUCGGUAGCCGGACUGAGAGGUCGGACGGCCACAUUGGGACUGAGACACGGCCCAAACUCCUACGGGAGGCAGCAGUGGGGGAUAUUGCACAAUGGAGGAAACUCUGAUGCAGCGACGCCGCGUGAGUGAAGAAGUAUUUCGGUAUGUAAAGCUCUAUCAGCAGGGAAGAUGAUGACGGUACCUGACAAAGAAGCCCCGGCUAACUACGUG